UACGUAGGUGGCAAGCGUUGUCCGGAUUUACUGGGCGUAAAGGGCGUGCAGGCGGUCUGUUAAGUUCAGGGUGAAAGCUCCCGGCUCAACUGGGAGAGGUCCUUGGAUACUGGCAGACUUGAGGGAGGUAGAGGAGAGUGGAAUUCCCGGUGUAGUGGUGAUAUGCGUAGAUAUCGGGAGGAACACCGGUGGCGAAGGCGGAUCUCUGGGCCUGUUCUGACGCUGAGGCGCGAAAGCGUGGGGAGCGAACAGG
rnacentral:rRNA from 1 species